CCGGCACCCCGAGUGGUCGGGACGAUUAUUGGGCCUAAAGCAUCCGUAGCCGGUUUUACGAGUCCUCCGUUAAAUCCAACUGCUUAACAGAUGGGCCGCGGAGGAUACUAUAAGACUAGGAGGCAGGAGAGGCAAGCGGUACUCAGUGGGUAGGGGUAAAAUCCGUUGAUCCAUUGAAGACCACCAGUGGCGAAGGCGGCUUGCCAGAAUGCGCUCGACGGUGAGGGAUGAAAGCUGGGGGAGCAAACCGGAUUAGAUACCCGGGUAGUCCCAGCUGUAAACGAUGCAGACUCGGUGAUGGACUAGCUUCAUGCUAGUCCAGUGCCGCAGGGAAGCCGUUAAGUCUGCCGCCUGGGUAGUACGGUCGCAAGACUG
rnacentral:rRNA from 1 species